rnacentral:rRNA from 1 species
AUGCACCGGGUGACGUGGUGGAAGAUUUGUGUUCCAAAAGGUCAAGGAGGAAUGGGCUUGGGAGAUAUGCAUUGUUUUAUCCUUGCAUUGGUGAAACAAGCUUGGCGUCUCCUGGAUAAUCCCGAAUCGUUAUGUGCCACGAUCUUAAGAGCCAAGUAUUUCCCGGAUGGCGAUUUGAUGAGUGCAAGUUUAAAAAAGGGUUCCUCCUUUACUUGGUAGAGUAUUAUGGCUGGAGUGGACUCUCACAGGAAUGGUUAUAUAUGGAGGGUUGGAACGGGAGAAUAUAUUGAUAUAUGGAGAGAUGCAUGGAUUCCGAAUUGUGUGAACAGGAUAAUUAUUACACCGAGGAGAGGGAAUCUCUUGACGAAAGUUUGUGAUCUUAUUGAUCCAGUCACGAAUCUUUGGGAUGAAGAUUUGGUGAGACAAAUAUUAUGGCCAAUUGAUGCUCAAAGAGUCCUGGCGAUUCCUCUUCCUAUGCAUAACAUACCGGUCUUCAUUGCUUGGAGCUAUACUAAAAACGACUUGUUCAUGUUCAUUCAGUUUAUUUGGAGGAAUGGAGGAAAACAUGGGAGGAAAUUGGAAUACACAAAUGGUAGGGGUAGAUGCGAGGUCACUCCUAUUUGGGAUACGAUUUUGAAAUUAGCUUGUCCAGCGAAAGCAAAAAUAUUUAUCUGGCGUACGCUUCAUGGGACUCUACCAUGUCGUGUCACGCUGGCCAAUAGACACUUAAAAAUUUCACCCAUCUUCCCAGCAUGUUCGAAUUGGCAAGAGGAUACCAAACACAUGUUGUUCCUUUGCUAGAAGGCAAAAGAAGUGCGGGGAAAUUUGUGGUUGUAUGAAGCGGUUUAA